rnacentral:rRNA from 1 species
UACGUAGGGGGCAAGCGUUAUCCGGAUUUACUGGGUGUAAAGGGAGCGUAGACGGCGAAGCAAGUCUGAAGUGAAAACCCAGGGCUCAACCCUGGGACUGCUUUGGAAACUGUUUUGCUAGAGUGUCGGAGAGGUAAGUGGAAUUCCUAGUGUAGCGGUGAAAUGCGUAGAUAUUAGGAGGAACACCAGUGGCGAAGGCGGCUUACUGGACGAUAACUGACGUUGAGGCUCGAAAGCGUGGGGAGCAAACAGGAUUAGAUACC